rnacentral:pre_miRNA from 11 species
UAAAUUGAAAACAUAUUUGGCAUUUAUGGAGACACGGUCAUACAGAGAAUCAUUGGGAUUAUGAAUCAAAUGUUAACUGUAAGACUGUGUCUUUAUGUUUGUCAUAUGGCAUCUUCGAGA